rnacentral:rRNA from 1 species
GAUGAACGCUAGCGGCAGGCUUAACACAUGCAAGUCGAGGGGCAGCACGGGUAGCAAUACCUGGUGGCGACCGGCGCAAGGGUGCGUAACGCGUGAGCAACAUGCCCUAUACAGGGGGAUAAUCCAGGGAAACUUGGUCUAAUAUCCCAUAGUAUUUAGAGGAGGCAUCUUCUAUAAAUUAAAGCUUCGGUGGUAUAGGAUUGGCUCGCGUGACAUUAGCUAGAUGGUGAGGUAACGGCUCACCAUGGCAAUGAUGUCUAGGGGUUCUGAGAGGAAGGCCCCCCACACUGGGACUGAGACACGGCCCAGACUCCUACGGGAGGCAGCAGUGAGGAAUAUUGGACAAUGGAUGGAAAUCUGAUCCAGCCAUGCCGCGUGCAGGAAGACAGCCCUAUGGGUUGUAAACUGCUUUUAUAUGGGAGCAAUAAGGUCUACGUGUAGACUGAUGAGAGUCCAUAUGAAUAAGC